UUAAGCCAUGCAUGUUCUAAGUAUAAGCAAUUAUACCGUGAAACUGCGAAUGGCUCAUAAAUCAGUAUCGUUUAUUUGAUAGUACCUUACUACUUGGAUAACCGUGGUAAUCUAGAGCUAAUACAUGCUGAAAACCCCAACUUCGGGAGGGGUGUAUUUAUUAGAUAAAAAACCAACGCCCUUUCGGGGCUUCUUGGUGAUUCAUGAUAACUUCACGGAUCGCAUGGCCCUUGCGCCGGCGACGGUUCAUUCAAAUUUCUGCCCUAUCAACUUUCGAUGGUAAGGUAUUGGCUUACCAUGGUUUCAACGGGUAACGGGGAAUUAGGGUUCGAUUCCGGAGAGGGAGCCUGAGAAACGGCUACCACAUCCAAGGAAGGCAGCAGGCGCGCAAAUUACCCAAUCCCGACACGGGGAGGUAGUGACAAUAAAUACUGAUACAGGGCUCUUUUGGGUCUUGUAAUUGGAAUGAGUACAAUUUAAACCUCUUAACGAGGAACAAUUGGAGGGCAAGUCUGGUGCCAGCAGCCGCGGUAAUUCCAGCUCCAAUAGCGUAUAUUAAAGUUGUUGCAGUUAAAAAGCUCGUAGUUGAAACUUGGGCCUGGCUGGCAGGUCCGCCUCACCGCGUGUACUUGUCCGGCCGGGCCUUUCCUUCUGGAGAACCUCAUGCCCUUCACUGGGUGUGUUGGGGAACCAGGACUUUUACUUUGAAAAAAUUAGAGUGUUCAAAGCAGGCCUUUGCUCGAAUACGUUAGCAUGGAAUAAUAGAAUAGGACGUGCGGUCCUAUUUUGUUGGUUUCUAGGACCGCCGUAAUGAUUAAUAGGGACAGUCGGGGGCAUCAGUAUUCAAUUGUCAGAGGUGAAAUUCUUGGAUUUAUUGAAGACUAACUACUGCGAAAGCAUUUGCCAAGGAUGUUUUCAUUAAUCAGUGAACGAAAGUUAGGGGAUCGAAGACGAUCAGAUACCGUCGUAGUCUUAACCGUAAACUAUGCCGACUAGGGAUCGGGCGAUGUUCUUUUUCUGACUCGCUCGGCACCUUACGAGAAAUCAAAGUUUUUGGGGUUCUGGGGGGGAGUAUGGUCUCAAGGUUGAAACUAAAAGAAAUCUUCGCCGGA
rnacentral:rRNA from 1 species